rnacentral:siRNA from 1 species
UCCAAGUGGACAUGACCAUUGG